GCAUGGGUUGAUUUGGCUGAUCUGGCAGGCAAGACAGGUAUCCCCUUCCUCCCUCACCACUUCAUGUGUGUCCCUCCCAAAGCUGUGUGCUUGGUAAAAGAGGACGGCCAUUCCAAUACAGGAGGACCAUUCUUCAGUCAAGGGCACAUGAACAGCUGUGCUCCCCUGCGAGAACCUCCAAAUAAAAUCUCAAGAAAGAAAAGGAAAUGAACUAGCUGAUCCUAAAAUGUAUAAGGAAAUACCAAAGACUUACAACAGAUGCCAGUUU
rnacentral:snRNA from 1 species